GGGGAAUAUUGCACAAUGGGGGAAACCCUGAUGCAGCGACGCCGCGUGAGUGAAGAAGUAUUUCGGUAUGUAAAGCUCUAUCAGCAGGGACGAAAGGGAGCGUAAGCUCCUGUGACGGUACCUGACUAAGAAGCCCCGGCUAACUACGUGCCAGCAGCCGCGGUAAUACGUAGGGGGCAAGCGUUAUCCGGAUUUACUGGGUGUAAAGGGAGCGUAGACGGUGAUAUAAGUCAGAUGUGAAAGCCCGGGGCUCAACCCCGGGACUGCAUUUGAAACUAUGUUGCUGGAGUGCAGGAGAGGUAAGUGGAAUUCCUAGUGUAGCGGUGAAAUGCGUAGAUAUUAGGAGGAACACCAGUGGCGAAGGCGGCUUACUGGACUGUAACUGACGUUGAGGCUCGAAAGCGUGGGGAGCAAAC
rnacentral:rRNA from 1 species